rnacentral:lncRNA from 1 species
GGUUGUCACGUGGGGCCGGGUCACCGCUCGCGGUUGGUCGAGCCACGCGCGUGCACGGCGGCGGGAGAGUCCCCGCCCUCACCCGCCGCCAUUUUGUGGUGACUGAGGGGAGGCGGGGAAAUGGCGGCAGGGGGCUGAACCCUGAGCGUGUGGCUCUGAUCCAACUUUAUGCGAGGGACAGGGGACAGCCUCUAAUGUAGAACUACCAGAUCUCGAUAAAUGGGCGAAAAAUAGAAUCACAGAAUGGUUUGAGUUGGAAUGAACCUUAAAGAUCAUCUUGUUCUAGCCCAUGGGCAGAGACACCUUUCACUAACCCAGGAAAUGAAUUUUGUCGCUUCAGUAAAUGAAAGGGAUGCUGCCACCUCAGUGUUGCAAGGAAACAAAUUUUUUCAUAGCUUUUCUGCAUAUUUUUGUGCUAAGGGAGGAUAGAAAACCAGGAUCUUCAUGCUCACCAACAUAAGACAUUUAUAAGAGCAGACUGAAAGAACUUCAAGAAGUGUGGCUUAAUUGGAUUUUAUUUAGAAAGUCUGUUUUGGAAAAGAGUCACUGCGAACGGUAAGGAAUAAUUAUUCCAGAUUACAUUGGGAGGCAGUCUAUUAAAGCAGAAGACACAAAAGCAAGAUUAAAGAGGAGUUUUUAAAAUAUUUAAAGUAUCAAAUGAAAUUAUUCACAUAAAGUGGAACUAAGUAAAAAGAUAGGUUUAAUUUCCGGGAAUGAUUUCAUUUAUAAAUUGCAAAACUGUAAUAUGAAUGAAUUUGCACUAGGUGAACUUGUGAGGUUUGCAAUGCUGGCCUCUCCUUAUGGAAGCAAAAUCAGCACUUUAUUCAGAUAUCUGCUUGUUCUGGCAUUGUUGUGGCAUCUACUAAAAAAAUCUUGUAUAGAUUUCAGUCUUCUUCUUCAGAAGGAGUUGCUCUAGAGCUGAAGAAAUUUGUGUGAACACUCAUAUCUGUUCUCCUUCAAAGCAUAAACUGAUACAAAGAAUGCUAGUCCAGGUGUGCGAGAAAGCUAUGCAGGAAGAGUUUAGAGUAACAGAUUCAGCUGGCAUCGAUUGGUUUUUGUCAGAGAAAUGAAAGAUAAUAUCUUCCAAAAUGUUAGAAAUAUGAGAUACAAUAGUUAUAAUGAGGAUAAUCAGGUAGCAGGGCAGAUUAUUACAGGAGAUGGUAAAUGCUGUACUGGCUGCCUUUGUAAAAAGAGUGUGUAACUCACAAAUCGUGGGACUCACAGUCACUGGGUGAAAUUCCCUGCCCUAUGUCAUGGGUAGGGUCAGAAUGGGUGAUUACAGUGGUAUCUUUUAAAUCUAUGAAUCUUUUUAACAUACAUCUUUUUAUAUCUACAGUCCUUAGUUCCUGUAAAAACCCGCUGUUACUAUAAUUGCUUAGAUUGCCAGAUUCUUCAUCUUCAACAAUGUAUUACAUUUUACUGCUUGUGA